rnacentral:lncRNA from 1 species
AGGCUGGCAACCAAGAUCAAGCAUUCCAUCCAGAAUCCAAACAAUAACAGUCUUGUUCAAUCGGUCUUUUUGCAAUAAGAGUUCAUCAAACAGACCUUACUAUUCUCUCCGGUAAAAAGUAAAAAUUUGCAAAUAGGUAAAGGAGAAUUGAAGAAAGAAUGAUCACUGACCUGAGGGGAAAGAGCGACAUGAAGAAGAUUGACAACUUAGGAUUUAGGAGACGCCUGUGAAGCAGAGAUUGUGUCAAAUUCGGAUGUCUGUCUGGGUAUUGCAGAGUGGUUUCUUUCUCUGUCUCUCUUCAUUCACUUGCUGAUCACCGUUGGAUUAAAUUGCAUGUCGAGAUUAGAUUGAGACUAUGAAGGGUCGUACGUAGAAACGUGUCGAAAAGAAAACCCACAUUUGAAUGUCUGUCUGGGUUCUUCGUGAAGAAAUGCAAUUGCAGAUAGGUUGGGGUUGGGUUUGGGUUUGGGGUUGGCGUUGGGGUUGGGCUGGUUUAGGGUUUAGGGUUUAGGGUUUAGGGUUUUAGGGUUUAGGGUUUAAGGGUUUAGGGUUUAGGGUUUUAGGGUUUAGGGUUUAGGGUUUAAGGGUUUAGGGUUUAGGGUUUUAGGGUUUAGGGU